rnacentral:rRNA from 1 species
UACGGAGGAUGCGAGCGUUUUCCGGAUUUAUUGGGUUUAAAGGGUGCGCAGGCGGCGUGUCAAGUCAGCGGUAAAAUGUCGGGGCUCAACCCCGGCCGGCCGUUGAAACUGGCGUGCUCGAGUUGGAGAGAAGUAUGCGGAAUUCGUGGUGUAGCGGUGAAAUGCAUAGAUAUCACGAAGAACCCCGAUUGCGAAGGCAGCAUACCGGCUCCACACUGACGCUGAGGCACGAAAGCGUGGGUAUCGAACAGG